rnacentral:rRNA from 1 species
AUGACGCUUAACCAGGAGCAGAAAUUUGUUAUCUGGUUUUUAUUGGAAAUGAUUGCUGACUCAAACCUGUGGCUUUUGGCUGUAGUUGGUGUGGUGAGGGCUAAGUUGGACAGGAUAAUGGCAUUAGACUACUACACAGCAGCUGCAGUUGGAGGGAGCUACGGAGCUGAAGAUGUGCAGGCACAGGAGAGUAUUACAGUCCAGGAGAACCUAGCUGCUGAAGGUCACAAGCUGUCUGGCAGCGGUGUUGCGAGAGAACACGCACACCAUGUCAGACCUUGGCAUGCAAGACCAUGCCCCUCGCCGACCUACAUAUCCCCUCCUACUCCAGCAGCGAUGGGCGAUGGCGACUACCAGAGUCCAGCUCUGGGGCUGAUGGUGACCAUGUGCGCAGGGAGGGCGGCGGGCACCCGGGACGCGGCUACCACUGCCCCACCACCCAUCCUCUUCCCGGAGCAGGUAAAUGAUUUGGGUCAGGCAGCGCUAUCACCACGUUGCACCGACGUGAUAGUCUCACCUCUGUUGACCAAAUUUGACAUCGCCUUGCAGACGUGGGGGCUCCAUCGUCACAUUAUCGACUUACUCCGUCACCUCAGCUGGACCGGAGGCUUCACCAUCGCUUCAUUAACCCACUCCGGGGACAUCGGCGUCACCAGCCGACUAGCUCCGUCACCUCGGUUGGACUAG